UUAACAUAACAUAUCAUAACAUACCAAUGUGCCAGGGACGUAGAAUGGGUACAACCUGGACUUUCUCUUACAUAGUGCCAGGGACGUAGAAUGGGUACAACCUGGACUUCCUUACCAUACCAUGCCGUAGCAUCAUCAUAUCAUAUGAGGACUAAAGGGUCAUCCAAUAACCAAUCCACAUCAACAUCAUAAAUGCAAUGCAACAUAUUCGUGGAUUCUAAUGCAAACAACCUAUUUCAUCACAUGGCAUUCAUGAUGCAUGAACAUGCUCAAC
rnacentral:lncRNA from 1 species